rnacentral:rRNA from 1 species
UAGGGAAUCUUCCGCAAUGGGCGAAAGCCUGACGGAGCAACGCCGCGUGAGUGAAGAAGGUCUUCGGAUCGUAAAACUCUGUUAUUAGGGAAGAACAAAUGUGUAAGUAACUAUGCACGUCUUGACGGUACCUAAUCAGAAAGCCACGGCUAACUACGUGCCAGCAGCCGCGGUAAUACGUAGGUGGCAAGCGUUAUCCGGAAUUAUUGGGCGUAAAGCGCGCGUAGGCGGUUUUUUAAGUCUGAUGUGAAAGCCCACGGCUCAACCGUGGAGGGUCAUUGGAAACUGGAAAACUUGAGUGCAGAAGAGGAAAGUGGAAUUCCAUGUGUAGCGGUGAAAUGCGCAGAGAUAUGGAGGAACAUCAGUGGCGAAGGCGACUUUCUGGUCUGUAACUGACGCUGAUGUGCGAAAGCGUGGGGAUCAAACAGGAUUAGAUACCCUGGUAGUCCACGCCGUAAACGAUGAGUGCUAAGUGUUAGGGGGUUUCCGCCCCUUAGUGCUGCAGCUAACGCAUUAAGCACUCCGCCUGGGGAGUACGACCGCAAGGUUG